GACGAACGCUGGCGGCGUGCUUAACACAUGCAAGUCGAACGGAAAGGCCCUGCUUUUGUGGGGUGCUCGAGUGGCGAACGGGUGAGUAACACGUGAGUAACCUGCCCUUGACUUUGGGAUAACUUCAGGAAACUGGGGCUAAUCCCGUAUAGCAUCUCCUGCUGCAUGGUGGGCGUUGGAAAUUUUCGGCGGUUGGGGAUGGAUUCGCGGCUUAUGAGCUUGUUGGUGGGGUAGUGGCUUACCAAGGCUUUGACGGGUAGGCGGCAUGAGAGGGUGACCGGCCACAAUGGGACUGAGAUACGGCGCAGACUCCUACGGGAGGCAGCAGUGGGGAAUAUUGCACAAUGGGCGGAAGCCUGAUGCAGCAACGCCGCGUGCGGGAUGACGGCCUUCGGGUUGUAAACCGCUUUCGCCUGUGACGAAGCGUGAGUGACGGUAAUGGGUAAAGAAGCACCGGCUAACUACGUG
rnacentral:rRNA from 1 species